rnacentral:rRNA from 1 species
UCAAAUGUUUUUUAAAGACUUAGGUUUCUUUAUGAAAUUGGCCCCUGCUCUAUGUUUUUAUAAAUGGCAGUCUUAGCGUGAGGACAUUAAGGUAGCAAAAUAAUUUGUGCUUUUAAUGGGUUCGGGUAUGAAUGGGGUUAUUGGUUAAUUUUUUACUUUAUUUUAAAUGAACUAAAUUUUUAUUUAAAAAGGUAAUAUGUAUAAUUAAACAAAGAUAAGUCUUCGGAAAUUUUUUUAUUAUCUUUUCUUUUGUUUAGAUAAUAUGUUUUCUAGGGUAGGAUAUUGUGUAAUUUUUUUUACUAUUGAUAUUUAAAAAAAUUACUUCGGAGUUAACAGAAAAUCAUGUCGUAACCAGAUUCUUAUGGUAGUGAUAAGUUUUACAUCGAUGUUGUAUUCCAAUUGUGCAAGAGAGGAGAAGGCUUGUUUUUUAAGACUGUUCUUCUGUUAAUUAAAUUGGACGUGAUAUUAGUUUAAUUCAUC